rnacentral:snRNA from 1 species
UUAGCUCUCUUUGCCUUUUGGCUUAGAUCAAGUGUAGUAUCUGUUCUUUUCAGUUUAAUCUCUGAAAGGUCUCUAAGGAGACCAAUCUUGAUUAAUCUUAUUUUUGAUAAUCGGAAAGGGGCCUCUACGGCUUGCCUUAUGCCCCCUCCACCGUGUCCCUGGUAUUACACUGCCUCCAGGUGACGCAAACGCGA